rnacentral:misc_RNA from 1 species
AGUAAAAGCUUAAAGAAAAAGGUUGCUUGCUUAGUUUUGAGAGAUCUAAAUGAUUAUCUCUUAUUGGGGGGAAUUAGCUCAGCUGGGAGAGCGCCUGCUUUGCACGCAGGAGGUCAGCGGUUCGAGCCCGCUAUUCUCCACCAGCUUUAAGGCGACGGGUUUGUAGCUCAGCUGGUUAGAGCACACCCCUGAUAAGGGUGAGGUCGAUGGUUCGAGUCCAUUCAAACCCACCAUUUUUGCGCUAUAUGCACAAAGCUUUCAGCUUACGUACUUUAGUACGCCGCGCUAAAACCUUUGCACAUCUAUCACAAAAAUUAAAGAGUGAAACUUAUUUAAAACCUGAUUAUUGAAAAACUUAAACAGAGUAUUUAACUCAAAUAUUCUGUUUAGGUUUUAUACCUAUGUUUUUUUAAAAUUUAUUGUUAAUUCCUUAAGAACUUUAAUGUGUAUCUUAUACCUUUGGUAUAGUUUAUAUCUUUAAAGUGUUUAAACCAAAUAGAAUACUUAAAAUACUCAUUUAUCUUAAAUAAGGCGAUGAUUAAAACUCUUUUCCGGUUGCAAAAGACGGAUUAGAGGUUAGUAAGCUACUAAGAGCAGACGGUGGAUGCCUUGGGUGGAAGAGGCGACGAAGGACGUACUAGGCUGCG